rnacentral:misc_RNA from 1 species
UGUGGGAGCGGGCUUGCUCGCGAAUACGGUAUAUCAGUCACUGCAGUUGGGGCUGAUACACCGCUUUCGCGAGCAAGCCCGCUCCCACA